AUGGCCUCCAGGGGUGGAGAAGAGCGGGAAGGGUCUGAGGGGUCCCCGAAACCGACAGUCUCCGCCAUGAGGAAGACCCCUAGCGUUGGGAGCCAGGAGGACCAGUUGUCCUUAAGCUACCUGGGGGACCGGUGGUCCUCAGACUCCUUCGGCUGGUUAAGCGACAGCGCGGGCAGCGACAGCGAGCACGAUGAGGGCGCCUUAGACCAGCCCCAGCACGACGUCCACCUGGAAGAUCUCUGCGAGCUCCACAGAGCUGCCCGGUCGGGCGACGUCCCUGGGGUGGAGCGCGUCCUGGCUCCUGGAGACCCUGGCCUGAACAAGAGGGAUAGGAAGGAGAGGUAA